GCCGGGUUAGCUCAUCUGGUAGAGCGGCACACUUGUAAUGUGCAGGUGGUCGGUUCGAGUCCGACACCCGGCU
rnacentral:tRNA from 1 species